UCUCCGGUGGCUGAGUGGUAGAGAAUCCGCCUGCAGUGUGGGAGACCCGGGUUCAAUCCCUGGGUGGGGAA
rnacentral:tRNA from 1 species